AUUGAACGCUGGCGGCAGGCCUAACACAUGCAAGUCGAACGAGUGGCGGACGGGUGAGUACUGUCUGGGACACUGCCUGAUGGAGGGGGAUAACUAAUGGAAACGGUAGCUAAUACCGCAUACCAUCAGAUGUGCCCAGAUGGGAUUAGCUUGUUGGUGGGGUAACGGCUAACCAAGGCGACGAUGCCUAGCUGGUCUGAGAGGAUGACCAGCCACACUGGAACGUAGACACGGGCCAAAGUCAUACGGGAUGCAGCAGUGGGGAAUAUUGCACAAUGGGCGCAAGUCUGAUGCAGCCAUGCCGCGUGUAUGAAGAAGGCCGUCGGUUUGUAAAGUACUGUCAGCGGGGAGGCGUGACCCGCAGAAGAAGCACCGGCUAACUCCGUGCCAGCAGCCGCGGUAAUUC
rnacentral:rRNA from 1 species